GACGAACCGUGCAAACGUUGUUCGGAAUCACUGGGCUUAAAGGGCGCGUAGGCGGGCAGGCAAGUCGAAGGUGAAAUCCCACGGCUCGACCGUGGAAGUGCCCCCGAUACUGCCUGUCUUGAGGGAGAUAGGGGCGUGCGGAACUUCCGGUGGAGCGGUGAAAUGUGUUGAUAUCGGAAGGAACGCCGGUGGCGAAAGCGGCACACUGGAUCUCAACUGACGCUGAGGCACGAAAGCCAGGGG
rnacentral:rRNA from 1 species